AUGCUGGCGCAGCUACCAUGCAGUCGAGCGGUAGCACAGAGAAGCUUGCUUCUUGGGUGACGAGCGGCGGACGGGUGAGUAAUGCAUAGGAAUCUGCCCGAUAGUGGGGGAUAACCUGGGGAAACCCAGGCUAAUACCGCAUACGUCCUACGGGAGAAAGGGGGCUCCGGCUCCCGCUAUGGGAUGAGCCUAUGUCGGAUUAGCUAGUUGGUGAGGUAACGGCUCACCAAGGCAACGAUCCGUAGCUGGUCUGAGAGGAUGAUCAGCCACAUCGGGACUGAGACACGGCCCGAACUCCUACGGGAGGCAGCAGUGGGGAAUAUUGGACAAUGGGCGCAAGCCUGAUCCAGCCAUGCCGCGUGUGUGAAGAAGGCCCUCGGGUUGUAAAGCACUUUCAGCGAGGAAGAACGCCUAGCGGUUAAUACCCGCUAGGAAAGACAUCACUCGCAGAAGAAGCACCGGCUAACUCCGUGCCAGCAGCCGCGGUAAUACGGAGGGUGCAAGCGUUAAA
rnacentral:rRNA from 1 species